CACGGGGGGAGCAAGCGUUGUUCGGAUUCAUUGGGCGUAAAGGGCUCGUAGGUGGCUUUGUAAGUCGGAGGUGAAAUCCCACGGCUCAACCGUGGACACGCCUUCGAAACUGUGAAGCUUGAGGCUGGGAGAGGAGAUCGGAAUUCCACGUGUAGCGGUGAAAUGCGUAGAGAUGUGGAGGAACACCAGUGGCGAAGGCGACUCUCUGGUCUGUAACUGACGCUGAGGCGCGAAAGCGUGGGGAGCAAACAGG
rnacentral:rRNA from 1 species